UACGUAGGGGGCCAGCGUUGUCCGAAGUUACUGGGCGUAAAGAGCGCGUAGGCGGGCCUUUAAGUGGGGGGUGAAAGGUUGGGGCUCAACCCCAACACUGCCUUUCAUACUGGGGGCCUUGAGUGCGGGAGAGGCGAGUGGAAUGGUCGGUGUAGCGGUGAAAUGCGUAGAUAUCGAUCGGAACACCCAUGGCGAAGGCAGCUCGCUGGCCUGCAACUGACGCUGAGGCGCGAAAGCCGGGGGAGCGAACAGG
rnacentral:rRNA from 1 species